UACAGAGGCCCCGAGCGUUAUCCGGAAUUAUUGGGCGUAAAGGGUGUGUAGGUGGCGUUGUUAGUCGUUUGUGAAAGCCCGGGGCUCAACCUCGGAAACGCGAGCGAAACGGCAAUGCUUGAAUAUGUGAGAGGUAAGCAGAACUCAUGGUGUAGGGGUGAAAUCCGUUGAUAUCAUGGGGAAUACCAAAAGCGAAGGCAGCUUACUGGCGCAUUAUUGACACUGAAACACGAAAGCGCGGGUAGCGAAUGGG
rnacentral:rRNA from 1 species